rnacentral:lncRNA from 1 species
AAACCCUGUCUCUUACUAAAAAUACAAAAAGUAGCUGGGCUUGGUGGGCAUCUGUAAUCCCAGCUACUCGGGAAGCUGAGGUUGGAGGAUCACUUGAACCUGGGAAGUGGAGGUUGCAAUGGGCCGAGAUCGUGCAACUACACUCCAGCCUGGGUGACAGAGUAAGACUUAAAAAUAAAACAAAACAAAAUAAAAUAAAAUAAAACAAAACUACAAAUACAAAAAUUAGCCAGGUAUGGUGGCGGGUGGCACGCACCUGUAUCUCAGCUACUUGGUAGGCUGAGGCACAAGAAUCACUUGAACCCAGGAGACAGAGGUUGCAGUGAGCCAAGAUCAGGAGACUGCACUCACAGCCUGAAGGACAGAGUGAGACUCUGUUUGAGGAAGAGAAAAAAAAAAGCGUUUCUGAUGUGAUAGAGAUAAUAAAACCUGAGUAACAUGAUAGAGAUUGAUGGGCAGAGGGAAUUUCAGAUGGGGGUGGGAGGGCAUGGGAGACAGCUCUGAGCCUAGACCUGAAGGAGCAGAAAGGGAGAUGGCUGUGAUCAUUUAGGGACAUAGGGUAAGAACGGGGAAAAUGACCUGAGACAGGAAGGGUUUUGAUGUUUGGGGAAAGAGAUAAGCAAAUGUGACUGGGGCGGAGGGAGUCAUUAGAUUAGGGCAAGCUCCCAGGAGGAGGCUGGACACUGGCAGGGGCCCUGGACACAGGGCUGUGGAGCCACACUGAUGAGUUGGGCUUUUGUCCUGGGGAACACGGGAAGCUGGUGGAGGGUUCCCUGCCAGGGACUGAUGUGACCUGCUUUACAUUUAGCUGUGAUAUCCUCAGAGUGGGGACAUAUUCACCGAGUUACCCUGAGAAGGUCUGAGAUGAGUGAGAAGGUGUGUCUGAAUUCUUACAUGGGGGCCCAGAAGGGCUAAUGGAAAGGGUUGGUCUUAUCACCUCUCUUUGAAAAUUAGAGAAGCAUCUUUCACAUACCUGGGCUAAAGAAACUUCUUUUGCAACGUUCUGAUGCUAUUGACUUUCAACAUUUAAUUCUUCUUACAAGAAAAUUAUAGUAACAUAUAUAAAAUGCAGAAGUGAAAACACACAGCUACUGACCUUGAAAACAGGGAGGCCAGGCAGGGUGGCUGAGGCCUGUAAUCACAGCACUUUGGGAGGCCAAGGCAGGCAGAUCACCUGAGGUCAGGAGUUCGAGACCAGCCUGAGCAAUAUGGAGAAACCCCCGUCUCUACUAAAAAUACAAAAAUUAUCUAGGCAUGGUGGCUCAUGGUUGUAAUCCCAGCUACUCAGGAAGGUUGAGGCAGGAGAAUCACUUGAACCCGGAGGCGGAGGUUGCGGUGAGCUGAGAUUGCACCAUUGCACUCCAGCCUGGGCAACAAGAGUGAAACUGUGUCUCAAAAAAACAAACAAACGAACAAACAAAAAAAGAAAAUAGGGAAAGAGGGUCAGCUGUAGAACUACUAUAUAAGCAAAUGUUUUCAAUCAAGAAAACAUGGGUGGCCAGAUACAGUGGCUCAUGCCUGUAAUCCCAGCACUUUGGGAGGUCAAGGCAGGUGGAUCACCUGAGGUCAGGAGUUCGAGACCAACCUGGCAAACACAGUGAAACCCUGUCUCUACUAAAAAUACAAAAAUUAGCCAGGCUCCAUCUCCACAACUCAUUUAAUCUCUUGCUGCUCCUUCUCCCCAAUCUUUAGAUCAUCCUCAAUCUCUAUAGAUUUCCACCUCUUCUCCCAUCUCUGUGCAUCCUCUGCUCUCCCUGUUAAAUUGUCUCUUCCUUGUUAUACCUCCCUGGCCCCACUCUCUGGCACCCCAGAUCCCCAGGUGUCCUCCCUGCUGUGCUUCUCCCUCUGUUCUCCUUGCCACCAGCACCACUCUGCUCUGUCUGCCCUGGCUCCAAAUCCCUCCUCCUCUCCCUCACUCUGAUGAGACUCCCUCUUUGCUGUCCCUCUCCCUACCUUGCUGUCCUUCAUCUCUCUGUACAUCUAGCUUUUCUCUACAUUUCUCCAGUUGCUUUUCUCCUCCUGCUUUCUUAUUUUUUUUUUCACUUUUGCUGUCUCUUGGCAAAUCCCUCACCCAUCUUCUACUUUGCCAUCUGUUAUGGGCCUUUCUCAUUCUUCUUUUCUCUGUCUCAGGUUUUUUACUGCUCUCUCUCUGUCUCCUGAUCCCUUUGGCCCACACAAUCACAGGAGGGUUUGGACACCUUCAUGUCAGAGGAGCCCAUUUUCCAGGGGCUGGCACUGGGCAGGGAAGAACACCUUGUGUCACCAUAUAGGCCCCAGGCACCUCCCCAAUGCGGGCCUGGGCAACAGAGCAAGACUUUCUCAAAAUAAUAAUAAUAACAAUAAUAAUUAUGUAUAUAUAUUGCAAAUGCUGUGUUUUCUACGUAAACCAUGGGCUUGGCCACACGCAUUACCUCAUGCCUGUAAUCCCAGCACUUUGGGAGGGUGAGGCGGUGGAUCAUGAGAUCAAGAGGUUGAGACAAUUUUGGCCAGCGUGGUGAAACCCGCUCUCUACUACAAGUACAAAAUUAGCUGGGCUUCUCGGCACGCCCCUGUUGUCCCAGCUACUUGGGAGACUGAGGCAAAAGAAUCACUUGAACUCGGGAGUCAGAAGUUGCAGUGAGCUGAGAUGGCACCAGUGCACUCCAGCCUGUCGACAAAGUGAGACUCUGUCUCAAAAAAAAAUCAUGGGCUUAUCCAUUAAUGCACUUCUGCACAUACUUCAAAUUACAUCCACACACACUUAAAUUAACUUGCGUUCAGAAGGUAUAAGCAAAAACCUGGAGAGGACACAACCAAAGCUACUCACCAGGCUGAGGUGGGAGAAUUGCUUGAGCCCGGAGAGCAGAGGUUGAAGUGAAUCAAGAUCGCACAACUGCCCUCCAGCCUGGGGGACACAGCGAAACUCCAUCACCUCCACCCCCCAAAAAGUUGGAAGCUCACUGAAUUAAGAUACAACUUCAAGAAAUCAUAAAAGCAAUGCAUGAAGAACAUGAGAAGGACAACCAACAUACAGAAAUUAUGACGAACUACACAGAAACUCUCGGGAUAAAAAUACAGUAACUAAAUGGAAAAACUCAAUACAUGGGUUCAAAAUCAGAAUUCAUUAUGUAAAUUAAAAACUAGUGAAGAGGGGUCAGGCAAGGUGGCUCACACCUGUAAUCCCAGGACUCUGGGAGGCCGAGGUGGGUGGAUCACUUGAGGUCGAGUUCAGAGAACAGUCUGGCCAAUAUGGUGAAACCUUGUCUCUACUAAAAAUACAAAGAUUAGCUGGGUGUGGUGGCUGGCUCCUGUAGUCCCAGGUACUCUGGAGGCUGAGUCAAGAGAAGCACUUGAACAUGGAAGGCAGAGGUUGCAGUGAGCCGGAUUGCCCCACUGUACUCCAGCCUGGGUGACAGAGCAAGACUGUCUCAAAAAAAAAAAAAAAACCAAAAAACAAAGAAAGAAAAUUCCAGGACUAUCUUUUAUACACCUGAGCAAAAGGAAUGUCUCUCUCCAUGUCUAAGGUUCUGAUGGCAUGAAUCCUAAACAUGUAAUUAUUUUCCCAGAAAUAUGACAGUAAUACGUUCAAAAUAAACACAAGUGUGAACACAUAGCUAUAGGUGUUUAAAACACUGAAAGAGGCCAGGCGCGGUGGCUCACGCCUGUAAUCCUAGCACUUUGGGAGGCCGAGGCAGGUGGAUCACGAGCUCAGGAGAUUGAGACCAUCCUGGUCCACAUGGUAAAACCCGGUUUCUACUAAAAAUACAAAAAUUAGCCUGGCAUGGUGGUGUGUGCCUGUAAUCCCAGCUACUCGGGAGGCUGAGACAGGAAAAUCAUUGGAACCCGGGAGGCAGAGGUUGCAGUGAGCCAAGAUCACACCACUGCACUCCAGCCUGGGUGACAGAGUGAGACUCCUUCUCAAACAAAACAAAACAAAACAAAAACCAAAACAACAACAACAACAAAAAACACUGAAAGAGAGGCAAUGGUAGUCAUAAGCUGUAAGCAAAUGUUUUCUUCAUGAACACAUGGGCUCUGCUGGAACAAGGUUCCAAAACAAUCCAGCCCAUCGUUCAACAUCUGCAAGGAAUAUUAUGAACCAGAGGAACUUGAGGGAGACAUUUACUUAGAAGCUCACAGCUCACCAUUUUAUCAGAUGACAUAAGGAAAGAAAAUAGAAUAGGCUACUUGAACCAAAUUUUGAUGUUAGCGUAAAGAAGAAAGGUCCUGGGGCCGGGCGUGGUGGCUCACACCUUAAAUCCCAGCACUUUGGGAGGCCGAGGUGGGUGGAUCACCUGAGGUUGGGAGUUUGAGACCAGCCUGACAAACAUGGAGAAACCCCAUCUCCACUAGAAAUACAAAAUUAGCUUGGCGCAGUGGCACAUGCCUGUAAUCCCGGCUACUGGGGAGGCUGAGGCAGGAGAUCACUUGAACCCAGGAGGCGGAGGUUGUGGUGAGCCAAGAUCGCGCCAUUGCACUCCAGCCUGGGCAAUAAGAGCAAAACUCCAUCUCAAAACAAACAAACAAAAUAGGUCCUUGAUAUCUUUAUAAAGUACACAUUGAAACAACCUAAAAUUGGCCAGGCACGGUGGCUCACACCUGUAAUCCCAGCACUUUCUGAGGCUGAGGUGGGCGGAUCACCUGAGGUCAGGAGUUCAAGACCAGCCUGGCCAACAUGGUGAAACCCCGUCUCCAUUAGAAAUACAAAAAUUAGCCAGGCGUGGUGGCAGGCGCCUGUAAUCCCAGCUACUUGGGGGCUGAGGCAGGAGAAGAGCUUGAACCCAAAAGACGGAGGUUGCAGUGAGCCGAGAUCGUGCCAUCACACUCCAGCCUGGGGGUAGAAGGGAGACUUUGUCUCAAAAAAAAGUAAGAAAGAAAAAAAGAAACAACCUAAAAUCAUUUAUCAGGUACUAGUAAAUGCUUCCAAUAUAUGAUACAGACUAGAAAGCAUGCAGUCUUCUAUGUAAACUGAACACAACAAAUUUCAUAGAGAAACUUUUAAAAUGGUUAAAAAUAUAUACAUCUAAAAAUGUAUAUAUCUAAUAAAAUGUAGGGUCAAAGAAGAAAAUUUUGAACUCAUAUCAUAGUUGGAAAACAAUGAUGUGAGCUCAUAAGAUUCUACCAAAGCUUAUUUGAAAAGUAGUUAUCUUACUUUUUUCAGACGGAGUCUCGCUCUGUCACCCCAGGCUGGAGUGCAGUGGCAUGAUCUCAGCUCACUGCAACCUCCCCCUCCCUGUCCAAGGGAUUCUGCUGCCUCAGCCUCCUGAGUAGCUGGGAUUACAGGCGCCCGACAUCACACCUGGCUAAUUUCUGUAUUUUAUUCGACACGAGAUUUCGCCAUGUUGACUAGGCUGGUCUCGAACUCCUGACCUCAGGUGAUCUGCCCGCCUUGGCCUCCCAAAGUGCUGGGAUUACAGGCAUGAGCCAUUGCACACGGCCUUUAUUUUUAUUUAUUUAUUUUUUAAUUAAGAAACAAGGCGGGCAUGGUGGCUCAUGCCUGUAAUUCCAGCAUUUUGGGAGGGCGAUACAGCUGGAUCGCUUGAGCCCUGGAGUUGGAGACCAGCCUGAGCAACAAGGCAAAAGCCCGUCUCUACCAAGUACACAAAAAUUAGCGCGGUGUGGUGGCGCGCGGCUGUGGUCCCAGCUACUCUGCAGGCUGAGGUGACAGGAUCGCUUGAGCAUAGGAUGUUGAUGAUGCAGUGAGCUGUGAUCCUGUCACCGCUCUCCCGCCUGGGCAACAGAGUGAGACCCCAUCUCCAAUAAAAAAGAAUAAAAAAGAAAUACCUGGGUCCUGGGUCUGGGGGCAGCGAAUCUAAGGCCAAUUAAGGCAAACUUUCUAAAACUAGACAAAAAGGAAAAACCCCAUCUCCCCAUCCGGAGUAACAAAGGAUCAAAGGCCGCUGUCCCUACCGCCCUCCUCCUUCCACCACGUCUCAGAAAGGGAAAGAGCCCAGGAGUGGCCAUGGCCAAGCACCGGCCACACCUUCAUCUGCAUAGGGCACCCAUCUGCUCCGGCCUCGGGCCAAUUCACCUCAGCAUUUCGUUGGCCAAGGGCCAAAAAUCCUUCAUCCAGAUAAGGGGUAGCCCAUAGGGACCUCAAAAUAAAUACUUUAACCCCCUAAAACUUUCUAAACGGGUCCCCGGAGACGCUGGCUCGGGCCCACUCCCCUCUGUGGAGUGCUUUCUUGAUUGCAUAUAUUCGUUUUCCAGGAGUUGGAACUAGGUAGCAACACCGCACAAGGAGGGAGGUGGGGAGCGACGGAGCCUUCGGACAGGGGUGGCGUCUGCAGGAUCUUAGGACCAGGCAGAGGACGCGGCCUCCCGGGAACCGGGGUUGAGGCGCGGCGCUCCUGAAGCCGCCGAGAGCGACGGUGGGAGGCGCCUAGGGCUGGAAUCCAGCUCGCGGGUGAGGACUUGAAACAGCGCGAGGCGGGAGGACAGGUCAGGAAGGGUUUUGAGAAGGAAAAUUCCGCGAUAGGAGGUGUCUGCACGACCCCACUGCAGAAAGACCGAGGACGGGACCUGCCUCAGGGCCACUUUAAACUCGAAGGGACUCACGGACUCUCACCCGGACGUCUCAAUUUGCUCUGGGUUGAGAAAGAGGGGCCGCAAUUUCCAGGUCUGUGGGGACUCAACGUCCCCGGUAUAGCAGCACCACAGGACUGGGAAGCACACAUAAAACAGAGCGAAACUCACGCGCUGUGGUGUGACCUUCAGUCCCUGCCAUCCGCUUCCGGGUCUAUGCCAAUCAGCGCAGGACAGAGGCCAGGCCUGGGCGGGACCCCCGAGAAGGUUUUGGAGGCGAAAGCCGCCAGUGAGGCUGGAGCAGCUCAGCAGUCAUUGAAAUAGUACCUCCCUGAGAAGUCAACGUGAGGCGGUCAUUGGACCCAGGAAAGUUCCUUGCUAUUGAAAUUAAUUUUAGCAAUUUAUGUCCAAAAUCUGGAAGUUGUCAAGGGAAGGAAUGCAAACUAGAAUGCGAAAUACAAAGCUCUGCCUCAGCGAAACCUCCAAUUUCCUGCUGACGGCCCACAGAACAGAAUAGCAAAUCCUCUCCCUUUCUAUUUUCCAUUCACUGGGGUGGGAGAAUCCACCCUGUGCUCAGCUCCAGAGACUUCCUCAGGGCCACCGCCUGGGGUGCGGAGCGGAGGCCUCAGGCCAGGGAGGAGUGAGGUCACCACCUCCUGCUUAAACACAGCAGGGAUGUGGGCGAGGUGGCGAGUCUGGGGUCCCGGCUACUCAGGAAGCAGGAGCCGCAAGACCGCUGAGCCCGGAGGUCCAGGCCAGCGUGGGCGACAAAGUAAGACCCUCUACCCCAGAGCUCCUUCCUCCGCCUCAAUAAGAAAAAAAGGGAUUUUUAAAAAAAGCAUUGACAUUGUAACAGUGUGUAGCAGGGCUAGCGGCAGACAAAACUUCUCAGACACUGAGUUGUAGAAGGAAGGGCUUUAUUCAGCUGGGAGCGUCAGCAAUCUACUGCCUUGAAAUCCGAGCUCCCUGAAUGCACAAUUUCUGUCCUUUUUAAGGGUUCACAACACUAAAGAUUUCACAUGAAAGGGUCGUGAUUGAUUUGAGCGAGCAGGCGGUACGUGACAGGGGAUGCAUGCACCGGUGGUCAGAGAGAAACAGAACAGAGCGGGGAGUUUUACAAUGUUCUUCUAUACAAUGUCUGGAAUCUAUGAAUAACAUUGGGUUCUAAGCCAUAAGUUGAUUUUUAACUACUGGGUUUAGGCCAGGCAGGCCCAGGCCUGGUUUCGGGCCUGGCCCCGGGGCUGCCUGUCUUUGGUUUUACUUUCUUGUUGUUUUUUCUUAAAACAGGUACUGAGUAUAAAACAAUAUGAGAGGGUCUCUGUCUUCCUUUAUUUCUUCUUUUUGAGAGUCUCACUUUUUAUUAGUGGGAGUUCUUACUCUUGUUUUUGCUACUUAUGUCUUUUUGUGUAAUAGAUUGAUAGUGAUUCAUAUAGUACACUUGUGCUGAAUCAUUUUGGUGAACUAAGGUAGCGAUGAAGCUUUUUAUCAUUUGAAGAGGUACAGGUAGCAAACAAGAGAGCAGUAAGCAGCUUUUUAUUACUAUUAUAACUCUUAUUAUAAGAGUUUUAAAUCCUCCUAUUGCUGGGAACUAAUUUUUAAACAUGGCUCCUGGAUUGAGUCCGUGCCACACCUGUACGGGUACAUGUGUCAGUUUUGUUAUAUUUUUAACUAUGUCUUCAACUACUUUCCUCUGAUGAUCUAUGUGUAGACAACAAUUAGUAAGGUUAAAUUUUCUACAAACUUUUCCUUCAGCUGCUAGCAAGUAGUCGAGAGCUAGUCUAUUUUGAUAGAUAGCAUUUCUUUUUCUUUUUUUGGUGAUGGAGUCUCGC